rnacentral:sRNA from 1 species
GAACAAUCUUUCGAGGGUGUUAUACUUUCCACACUUCCCUCUGGACGACCUCACAUUUCACCUCCAAAACGUAACGACCGCAACUUUUUUGACGUUGACAUCGCAUUUUCAGGGACAACUAAUCCUGAUCAGGCACGGUCAAUUGUUGCGGCACUAGUCCGGGCUAAGAACGAUGACAGAUUAAAAUGGAAAGGCGAUAGCGGCAGGUAGUGUAUUUCGGGUCAAGGGCUCUAUUGAACCCGACAUGCUGCUAUAGAUCUAUCUCCGUCUUCACUCCUUUGGGAAGCAUAGAAGACUUGUAACGCCUGCUAAAUUUUGUCUGCAUGGAAAGGCGAAGUGAAGCAC